rnacentral:rRNA from 1 species
UACGUAGGGUGCGAGCGUUGUCCGGAAUUAUUGGGCGUAAAGGGCUCGUAGGCGGUCUGUCACGUCGGGAGUGAAAACACGGGGCUUAACCCCGUGCCUGCUUCCGAUACGGGCAGACUAGAGGUAUGCAGGGGAGAACGGAAUUCCUGGUGUAGCGGUGAAAUGCGCAGAUAUCAGGAGGAACACCAAUAGCGAAGGCAGCUCGCUGGGACGUUACUGACACUGAGGCGCGAAAGCGUGGGGAGCGAACAGG